rnacentral:rRNA from 1 species
GACAGAGGUGCCGAGCGUUAGGCGGAAUCACUGGGCUUAAAGCGUGUGUAGGCGGGCGGGCAAGUACCUUGUGAAAUCCCACGGCUCAACCGUGGAACGGCUGGGUAUACUGCCUGUCUUGAGCCAGCUAGGGGCGAGCGGAACAGACGGUGGAGCGGUGAAAUGCGUAGAUAUCGGAAGGAACGCCCGUGGCGAAAGCGAGGUCCUGGACGUCUACUGACGCUGAGACGCGAAAGCUAGGGGAGCGAACGGG